AUUGAACGCUGGCGGCAGGCCUAACACAUGCAAGUCGAACGGUAACAGGAAACAGCUUGCUGUUUCGCUGACGAGUGGCGGACGGGUGAGUAAUGUCUGGGAAACUGCCUGAUGGAGGGGGAUAACUACUGGAAACGGUAGCUAAUACCGCAUAACGUCGCAAGACCAAAGAGGGGGACCUUCGGGCCUCUUGCCAUCGGAUGUGCCCAGAUGGGAUUAGCUUGUUGGUGGGGUAACGGCUCACCAAGGCGACGAUCCCUAGCUGGUCUGAGAGGAUGACCAGCCACACUGGAACUGAGACACGGUCCAGACUCCUACGGGAGGCAGCAGUGGGGAAUAUUGCACAAUGGGCGCAAGCCUGAUGCAGCCAUGCCGCGUGUAUGAAGAGGGCCUUCGGGUUGUAAAGUACUUUCAGCGGGGAGGAAGGGAGUAAAGUUAAUACCUUUGCUCAUUGACGUUACCCGCAGAAGAAGCACCGGCUAACUCCGUG
rnacentral:rRNA from 1 species